rnacentral:rRNA from 1 species
GACGAACGCUGGCGGCGUGCUUAACACACGCAAGUCGAACGGAAAGGCUCCAGCUUGCUGGAGUACUCGAGUGGCGAACGGGUGAGUAACACGUGGGUAAUCUGCCCUGCACUCUGGGAUAAGCCUGGGAAACUGGGUCUAAUACUGGAUAUGACCUUUCUCCUUAUGGGGUUUGGGGGAAAGGUUUUCGGUGUAGGAUGAGCCCGCGGCCUAUUAGCUUGUUGGUGGGGUGAUGGCCUACCAAGGCGACGACGGGUAGCCGGCCUGAGAGGGUGAUCGGCCACAUUGGGACUGAGAUACGGCCCAGACUCCUACGGGAGGCAGCAGUGGGGAAUAUUGCACAAUGGGCGGAAGCCUGAUGCAGCGACGCCGCGUGAGGGAUGACGGCCUUCGGGUUGUAAACCUCUUUCAGCAGGGACGAAGCGUAAGUGACGGUACCUGCAGAAGAAGCACCGGCUAACUACGUGCCAGCCGCCGCGGUAA